UUCACACUCUAAUGAAUAACCAACACACACUGUGUUAUUCAUGAGAAGUGAAAAAUGACUUAUGUAUGGAUUUUAAUUUUGAUUUUCUGCACCAUGUGUUCAGUCCAUCCUGGUAGACACUGGGUUACUGCACAUUCUGUCACAAAGCCACCAGUUAACCAGUUUGAUAACGUGCUCAGUAGGAAAAUCGGAAUGACUGCUAUUCUGAAGUGUUGUGUUUUAGAUAAAGAAGUUGGGUUGAUGUCCUGGUUUAAGCAACAAAACAAUAAACAACCUCAGAUGAUAGUAACAUUUUUUAAAAGUGGCGAAAAAACUUAUCAUAAUGGAUUCCAAAAUGAUCGUUUUAAAAUAGAAAGAUCGACCUGGUGCAAAAUGAUCAUUGAUAAGGUCACUCAGUCUGAUGAAGCCUUGUACUACUGUGCAAUGACGAGACCCAACAUUGUGUUUGGAGAUGGAACUUAUUUACAAAUUAAAGGUGGACUUUUACUAUUGCAUCAGAAACAUCUAAAGCAGCUCUGUGUGAUCAUUCAGUGGUGUAUGAACCAACACCUCAUGGAAACAUCAAUAACACUAACACUAACAACACAACACAGCAGAACACAGAACCAGAAAUGAUCAGAUCUCUACAUCGGACAGUGAUCGGUUUGGGAUCGGCUUUGGGUUUGUGCGCACUUCUGAUUUUCUGUCUCACUUAUUUCAUACUGAGGAGAAGAAAAGGUGAUAAAAUAAAUGCUUCUAUUGAAGAUUCUCCAGGAACAAAGCAGGAAUCUGAAGCUGAAUCACUGAAUUAUGCGGCUUUGCAAUUCUCCAAGAGGAAAACCAAAGCUGAAAAAAGAAAACCCGUCUCAUCAGAUGAGUGUGUGUACACUCAUGUGAAAUACUCUGUAAAAUGUAACAGAUAUAAUUUAUAAUCCAUGGCAGAAUAAUGUGAAGGAUUUUACCAAAUAAAAUUAUCUUGAGUAUAUUAUGUAUGUCGGGGCAGUCGUGGCCUAAUGGUUAGAGAGUCUGACUCAUAACCCAAAGGUUGUGGGUUCGAGUCUUGGGCCGGCCACGACUGAAGUGCACUUGAGCAAGGCACCAAACCCCCCAACUGCUCCCCGGGCGCCGCAGCAUAAAUGGCUGCCAACUGCUCCGGGUGUGUGUUCACGGUGUGUGUGUGUGUGUGUGUGUGUGUGUGUGUGUUCACUGCUGUGUGUGUGCACUUUGGAUGGAUUAAAUGCAGAGAACAAAUUCUGAGUAUGGGUCACCGUACUUAGCCGUAUGUCACGUCACGUAAAUUGGGUAAAUUAUGACAUAUGAUGCUUUAACAGAAAAGUCUAGAAAUGAUCCUAUAUUUUGUUUAUACUAAUCUAAUUAUAAGAAUUAUAUUUAAGUUGCAUGAAUUUUAGUUUAUUUUUAAGCUUAGAUGCAGUUCUCCUCUUCAGGAUUUAUUUCUGUGUUCAUGGUUAAAUGAACUACUCGUGUUUAUUUAUUUGUUUUAUUUUUUUCUGGAACUGUUAUUACUUUUCACUGUUGAUGUAUUAACUUUUAGUGACAAUGAACUUGUAAAAAAAAUCCAACUUGAGUGAUUUUUUUGAGUGUCCUCGUUUGUAUG